UUCUGGUUGAUCCCGCCGGACCUGACUGCUAUCGGAUUGAUACUAAGCCAUGCGAGUCUUUGCAGUAAUACAAGGCAGACGGCUCAGUAACACGUAGUCAACCUACCCUAUGGACGAGAAUAAUCUCGGGAAACUGAGCAUAAUUCUUGAUAGAUCAUAAUGCCUGGAAUGGUUUAUGGUUAAAAUGAUUCGUCGCCAUAGGAUGGGACUGCGGCCUAUCAGCUUGUUGGUGAGGUAAUGGCCCACCAAGGCGAUUACAGGUACGGGCUCUGAGAGGAGAAGCCCGGAGAUGGGUACUGAGACACGGACCCAGGCCCUAUGGGGCGCAGCAGGCGGGAAAACUUUGCAAUGUGCGAAAGCACGACAAGGUUAAUCCGAGUGAUUUCUGCUAAAGAAAUCUUUUGCCAGUCGUAAAACCGCUGGUGAAUAAGGGGUGGGCAAGUUCUGGUGCCAGCAGCCGCGGUAAU
rnacentral:rRNA from 1 species